rnacentral:rRNA from 1 species
CCUACGGGAGGCAGCAGUGGGGAAUAUUGCACAAUGGGGGAAACCCUGAUGCAGCGACGCCGCGUGAGUGAAGAAGUAUUUCGGUACGUAAAGCUCUAUCAGCAGGGAAGAAAAACAGUCCUUUGGACUUUGGACGGUACCUGACCAAGAAGCCCCGGCUAACUACGUGCCAGCAGCCGCGGUAAUACGUAGGGGGCAAGCGUUGUCCGGAUUUACUGGGUGUAAAGGGAGCGUCAACGGCAGCGCAAGUCUGGAGGGAAAUGCCGGGGCCCAACCCCGGAACUGCUUUGGAAACUGGGCAGCUGGAGUGCAGGAGAGGUAAGCGGAAUUCCUAGUGUAGCGGUGAAAUGCGUAGAUAUUAGGAGGAACACCAGUGGCGAAGGCGGCUUACUGGACUGUAACUGACGUUGAGGCUCGAAAGCGUGGGGAGCAAACAGGAUUAGAUACCCCAGUAGUC